rnacentral:rRNA from 1 species
UACGUAGGGUCCGAGCGUUGUCCGGAAUUAUUGGGCGUAAAGGGCUCGUAGGCGGUUUGUCGCGUCGGGAGUGAAAACUCAGGGCUCAACCCUGAGCGUGCUUCCGAUACGGGCAGACUAGAGGUAUGCAGGGGAGAACGGAAAUUCCUGGUGUAGCGGUGGAAUGCGCAGAUAUCAGGAGGAACACCGGUGGCGAAGGCGGUUCUCUGGGCAUGACCUGACGCUGAGGAGCGAAAGCAUGGGGAGCGAACAGG